rnacentral:rRNA from 1 species
UACGUAAGUCCCGAGCGUUGUCCGGAUUUAUUGGGUUUAAAGGGUGCGUAGGCGGAUCGUUAAGUCAGUGGUCAAAUUGAGGGGCUCAACCCCUUCCCGCCAUUGAAACUGGCGCUCUUGAGUGGAAGAGAAGUAUGCGGAAUGCGUGGUGUAGCGGUGAAAUGCAUAGAUAUCACGCAGAACCCCGAUUGCGAAGGCAGCAUGCCGGCUUCCGACUGACGCUGAAGCACGAAAGCGUGGGGAUCGAACAGG